rnacentral:rRNA from 1 species
UACGAAGGGGGCUAGCGUUGUUCGGAAUCACUGGGCGUAAAGCGCACGUAGGCGGAUGUGCCAGUCAGGGGUGAAAUCCCUGGGCUCAACCCAGGAACUGCGUCCGAUACUGGAAGGCUUGAAUCCGGGAGAGGGAUGCGGAAUUCCAGGUGUAGCGGUGAAAUGCGUAGAUAUCUGGAGGAACACCGGUGGCGAAGGCGGCAUCCUGGACCGGCAUUGACGCUGAGGCGCGAAAGCCAGGGGAGCAAACGGG